rnacentral:lncRNA from 1 species
CCCCGUACCACUGCCCGAGCCAGGUCCGGGGGACGAGACCACAGUCCUGUAGGUGGGUGGUGGUGGGGGAGGUGGAGUUGCUCUCUGUCCCAACCCACACUCUUUAGGAGAUGAGAGUGUUUCUAAGUAAUCAUCUUUAAUGAAGGUCUGCUCAGCAACUUUCUUCUGGACUUCUUCUAAAUUGAGCGGAGAUGGUACAUGGCGAGGACCAGGAGGCCCUGGGGGACCUGCGGAGCCUGUGGGGCCAGUGUGAGUGCCUCUGGCAGUCAGAAGAGAGUGUCCAGUCCUACAGGGUUGGAGUUACAGAGCUGUGAGCAACCAUGAGGGUGCUGGGAGCCAAACCCAGGACUUCUACAAGAACAGCAAGUGCUUUAAAACCAAUGAGUCAUCUCUCCAGCCAGAUAAGAGGUUCGUAAUUUUAGCUAUGAGCUGUCAAAAAUCCUUCUGCAAGUGAAUAUUUUUCCUGUGGAAGUUAGGAGCCAAUCAGAGAUUCUGCCUCUUACUCAUCACCUCUAUUAAAUGUCAAGAUGGUAAUCCCUAGAUAUCAUAACACAAAUCAGAUGGCUAGAUGCCAUAAGGCCCAACACUGAAGAGGAGC